rnacentral:rRNA from 1 species
AAUGAACGUUGGCGGCAUGGAUUAGGCAUGCAAGUCGAGCGAGAAGAGUUUUGAGGCUUGCUUUAGAACUCGGAAAGCGGCGAAAGGGAGAGUAACGAGUAGUUAUCUACCCCAAGGCCCGGAAUAGCUGCGGGAAACUGCAGGUAAUGCCGGAUAAUAUCCCCGGAUCAAAGGUGUGAUUCCGCCUUGGGAGGAGACUGCUUUGUACUAGCUUGUUGGUAGGGUAAUGGCCUACGAAGGCUACGAUGCAUAGCGGGCGUGAGAGCGUGGCCCGUCUCACUGGGACUGAAACACUGCCCAGACACCGUCAGGUGGCUGCAAUCGAGAAUCUUCGGCAAUGGGCGAAAGCCUGACCGAGCAAUGCCGCGUGCGGGAUGAAGGCCUUCGGGUUGUAAACCGCUGUCGUAGAGGAGAAAGGUCUGAUGAAGAAUCAGAUUUGAUCUAUUCUAGGAGGAAGUCGGGGCUAAGUUCGUGCCAG